rnacentral:rRNA from 1 species
CACGUAGGGUGCGAGCGUUGUCCGGAAUUAUUGGCGUAAAGAGCUCGUAGGCGGUGUGUCGCGUCGGCCGUGAAAACCUGCAGCUUAACUGUGGGCUUGCGGUCGAUACGGGCAUCACUGGAGUUCGGCAGGGGAGGACUGAAUUCCGUGGUGUAGCGGUGAAAUGCGCAGAUAUCAGGAGGAACACCGGUGGCGAAGGCGGGUCUCUGGGCCGAUACUGACGCUGAGGAGCGAAAGCGUGGGGAGCGAACAGG